UGGAAAAAUUAUACGCCACAGAUAAAGUUUCAAUUUUUACAGGAUUUCCAAAGAAAUGCUCGAUUUCUACCUCUAUAGAACAAUACUAGGAAAAUUAAAAAGGACAAAAAGAAAAAAAAUCUAGGGUUCCAGGCCGACUGAUUUGGAUCUGAAGACGACGAUUCGAGGGGAGACUGGAGGGGGUGGGGCAGGCAUGUGUAGGCUUUGAGAAGGGCGAUAUUGCCCUCGUCGAGUGGGCGAGGGUUCCUCUCAUUCUUCUCCUCUUCAAGUUAUGGAGCCAUGGCGGCAAAAAGCAAUGGCGGCGAGACCUCUUUCCCUCGGCUUGUGUUCAUAGCCUAUUUGCUAUAUUCCAUAUUUCAGGCCUUGGUCCACAAGAAACCAAACCAGCCCAGAAGUCGGCAGACUGGUUUUAUACUUAUUUACCCCUUUUUAACUCGUGAGGUUCGG
rnacentral:lncRNA from 1 species